rnacentral:rRNA from 1 species
AGCAGUGGGGAAUAUUGCACAAUGGGGGAAACCCUGAUGCAGCAACGCCGCGUGAGUGAUGAAGGCCUUCGGGUUGUAAAGCUCUGUCUUCAGGGACGAUAAUGACGGUACCUGAGGAGGAAGCCACGGCUAACUACGUGCCAGC